AGUUUUAAAGCGGUAUUACCAUCACCUAAUGGUAUAAGUGAUUGCACUGACCCCUUUCCAAAAGAUUGGCUUCCAACCACUUUUGCCCUGUUGUUGUCUUUUAAGGCACCGGCUAAAAUUUCAGCCGCAGAGGCUGAAUUUUCAUUAAUAAGCACAACAAUUGGAGCGCCUUUGAGUAUGUCGCCCCGUUUAGCAUAAAAGGCUUGGUUAGCGUCAAAGUAUCUGCCUUUCGUUGUUACUAUAGUUCCGCUUUCUAAGAAUAAAUCAGAGACCGCAAUCGCACUUUUAAGGGUGCCUCCGGGGUUGUCACGUAA
rnacentral:ncRNA from 1 species